rnacentral:rRNA from 1 species
UGAGGAAUAUUGGUCAAUGGACGAGAGUCUGAACCAGCCAAGUAGCGUGAAGGAUGACUGCCCUAUGGGUUGUAAACUUCUUUUAUAAGGGAAUAAAGUGCACCACGUGUGGUGUUUUGUAUGUACCUUAUGAAUAAGGAUCGGCUAACUCCGUGCCAGCAGCCGCGGUAAUACGGAGGAUCCGAGCGUUAUCCGGAUUUAUUGGGUUUAAAGGGAGCGUAGGCGGCGGGUUAAGUCAGUUGUGAAAGUUUGCGGCUCAACCGUAAAAUUGCAGUUGAUACUGGCCUGCUUGAGUGCGGCAGAGGCAGGCGGAAUUUGUGGUGUAGCGGUGAAAUGCUUAGAUAUCACGAAGAACUCCGAUUGCGAAGGCAGCUUGCUGGAGCGUAACUGACGCUGAUGCUCGAAAGUGCGGGUAUCAAACAGG